GCGUUUGUGGUUUAGUGGUAAAAUCCAUCGUUGCCAUUUGAGGAGAUUCAUCCAUCUCUUCAAUCAACGUCGAUGGGCCCCGUGUUCGAUUCACGGCGAUCGCA